rnacentral:rRNA from 1 species
GCAAGUCGAGCGGUAGAGGGAAGCUUGCUUCUCUUGAGAGCGGCGGACGCCCGUUAAAUGCCUAGGAAUCUGCCUAGUGGUGGGGGAUAACGCCCGGAAACGGACGCUAAUACCGCAUACGUCCUACGGGAGAAAGCGGGGGAUCUUCGGACCUCGCGCCAUUAGAUGAGCCUAGGUCGGAUUAGCUAGUUGGUGAGGUAAUGGCUCACCAAGGCGACGAUCCGUAACUGGUCUGAGAGGAUGAUCAGUCACACUGGAACUGAGACACGGUCCAGACUCCUACGGGAGGCAGCAGUGGGGAAUAUUGGACAAUGGGCGAAAGCCUGAUCCAGCCAUGCCGCGUGUGUGAAGAAGGUCUUCGGAUUGUAAAGCACUUUAAGUUGGGAGGAAGAGUAGUAACCUAAUACGUUGCUACUUUGACGUUACCGACAGAAUAAGCACCGGCUAACUUCGUGCCAGCAGCCGCGGUAAUACGAAGGGUGCAAGCGUUAAUCGGAAUUACUGGGCGUAAAGCGCGCGUAGGUGGUUCAGUAAGUUGGAAGUGAAAUCCCCGGGCUCAACCUGGGAACUGCUUUCAAAACUGCUGAGCUAGAGUACGGUAGAGGGUGGUGGAAUUUCCUGUGUAGCGGUGAAAUGCGUAGAUAUAGGAAGGAACACCAGUGGCGAAGGCGACCACCUGGACUGAUACUGACACUGAGGUGCGAAAGCGUGGGGAGCAAACAGGAUUAGAUACCCUGGUAGUCCACGCCGUAAACGAUGUCAACUAGCCGUUGGAAUCCUUGAGAUUUUAGUGGCGCAGCUAACGCCAU